ensembl:lncRNA
CUCUGCUUUUCUGAUGCAAGAAGCUGCAAGAUUCCAUCUCUGCCAUAAUGUCAUCCUGUUGGCUGGCUACAUCCACAAAGUUCAACAAACCAGUUCAACCUGAAGAAAGAGAGAGGGAGAGGGAAGAUUUUGACUCUAAGAUGAAACCCGAAUCUUCCAGCAGCCAAUCCAACAACUGAAAACCACGGGUGAAGUGUUGUAAUCAACAUCCCACUGAGAAGAAUUGCCCAGUUGACUCCUGCCUGCAUUGCUGCUCCAAAAUAUUGGGAGGUAUAAUAAAAUGGUUUGUUUAAAG